rnacentral:lncRNA from 1 species
UCCUCGUCAGGCUCUGAGGUCGCCGGCCAGUCUGGCCUCUCCUCUCUGCGCUCAGUGUUGUGUGUUUGAUGCCUAGUGUUUCAGGUGUACUUAGGGGAGCAGAAGAGGAAGGCAGACCUCCUCCCUUUUCCCAGAUGCAGACGUCCUGUGGUUAACUUUUAAAUGUCUUUGCCAAAGAACAGACACAGCAAGUGGGGAGCAGGAAGUCUGGGCUUUGUAUGCAAAUUCACCAUCACAUCCGUUCAGAUCCAUCUCCAGAGAGGACUCCGAUUCCUUUCCUGCUGGCGGAGCUCAGGAGCUGACUUCUCUGGGUGGAGGGUCUCCAGCAGGGCCAUGCCACGUGCCUCGUCUCCCUCGGGGACGUCUCUGCAGGCUACUGCUUGGAAGUGCUGGCGUGUUGAACCCAAGAGACUUUGCACCCAGAAGCUUUCUCAUCCUGAUCAGCCUGUUUUCAAGUAUUUUCGGAAUAGAACAGCAAGGACAUUGGUUUUACUUCUGCAUUUGAAGAAUGGACCUGCACAGGGAACCAACUCUGAAGCAGCCUUUCUUUCCAAGAUGCUCAGCCUGUGUGCCUGCAUGCAGCCUGUGUGCAAUCUGUGUGCAUCCUGUGUGCUGGAGCAGCGGCUGGUGAUUAGAAGUCCCGGCUAUUUUCUGGGGUCAACAGCAGAUCCAAGAUCAUCUCAGCAACUCUCUGCCUGAAAACAAGCUCUGGGAGGGCACCGCCCAGGUCACCUCCGGCUUCUGGAGCAACGGUGCUGGAAGGGCUCAACCCCCGGACCCAGGCUUCGGGAUCCAUUAAAACGUGAAGUCACCUGCGCCCUGAGCAGGCGCUGUUGCAGGAGAGCGCCUUGGCCAUGGCCCCCAGCGGACACCCCGCCAGGCUCUUCCAGCUCCGCUCAUGAGGGGAAAGUUCAAAGCCAAACAGAGUUGUUUCCUCUGCUGCCCGCGUGCACUCUCUGGGGACCUAAUCACAGCGCCCCUGCCCCAAGCAUCUACCAUCACUCCGCAAACACUCCUUCCGGCUUCAGCUUUCUACCUGCUCCACAGUCUGAAUCUUGGCAAUUUGGGGUUUGCAACGAAGACGAGGAACAUAAAUGAACUGUUUGACGGACCCCAGACCCCGAAGGAACUGCACUGGAUGCUGAGCAAACUGAAGAAGGAGGCUUCAGGUAUAUUUGAAAGGAAACCACGAUCUGCUCUUAAUGCUCAGAGGCGGCUGGAACUGUCAGCGUUAUCCUACCACCCAGGGCAAGAUGACAUGGUCACACUCCUCCUCCUGGGCUCCUGAAUCCACGGGUGACACACAAGACAGGAAAUCACCAACUGCUUUCCGCCACGGCCGCUGCGCUCUCGUCCUCGUUGUCUACGACCUGAGUUCUUUUGAAAGAACUGGCGCCAUGUCCUCACCCGAGUGCUGACAGGUGCUUACCACACCUGAGUCGUCCGUCAGGCAGCUGCUCAAGUCACCUUGGGGCUUCUGCCCAUCGCUGCAGCCAUCCUGUCCCCUUGAUGCUUUGUGGUCAUUGUCAUGGGAGCCAAAUGCAGCGCCGAGGGGACUGCUGUGCAAGUCAGGACUGAUCUGGCUUCUACUCAGUCUAGAAUUUCGCCCCAUAUGACCACGAGCUGCUCUCACACACAAGGAGGAGAGGAGCCAGGCUGGGCUCUUGCGCACUUUACCUGUCAGCAGUCCUUGGUCUUCUGCCGAGCAGCGGAUGCCCUUUCUCGCUCAGCCUCCCGCCUGCGUGACCUAAUCAGGUGAAUUCCUCCGUGACAUAGAUGGUAACCCACUGUCCUUGCAGUCAGAUCAAGGCUUAAAAAGGAUACAGUCUUGAGCAAGAUCACAGGACCAGCAGGAGCCCAGGUUCGCUCUCCAGCCUUGCAGGUUUGCAGCAAGAUCCAGGCAUCAGUUCUGUGUCCGAAGGCAGCUGCUGGUCUGCAAGAGGCUGGGACCACCCCGUCUCCCUGCCCUGCAGGGGCUCUGCCUCAUCCACAGGAGCCUCUCCAUCCUCUUCCCCAAGUCUGCAGCAACUCGGCUCUGCGUCCUGGAUGUGUGGGGACACUCCCGGCAGGAGCUGCCAUUGCUGUUGAAGUCCCUGUGACUGGCCAGGAUGCUUUGUAACAGCUGGUGUCCUCUUGGCUGCCUGGGAACCAACGGCCGUGUCUGAAUUGCUAAGCCUUUGCACCAGAGCAAACAGAAGCUUGCCCUGCUCCCCGAAAACAAACCUGAUGAUGGUGGCACCCAUUUUCAAAGCGUCUUUCAGGCCCAGAACUGCAGCUUUUGGGAAGCCCUGCGUGCCCGGGGCCGAGGGGUCGCGUCAGGAAGCCUGGUCUUGGGCUGGCCUCCGCGUUGUGUUGUCUGCACUUGAGCCAGACCUCUUUCAGUGGCCGCCCACCCUCUGACACAGUUGCAUGUGGACUUCAUUUGUUCUAGGAAACGGUGGUGUUUCGAGCCAACGCUGUGAUCUUGUCCUCAGGCGCCUCCCCGUGUAGCCUUCACAGUGGAGGCCCCCGUCCGGGCCACAUCUUGGAAACACUGGGCUGCUCUCUAAUGGCCACAGAGGUUGCUCGUUUCUGAAAAUGUAAGACGUAACUGCCCGGGAAGGGACGUGAAGCUUCUACCAUGGGCUUUCUUAUCCUGUCGAGCUGCACAUUCCAUCUGGUACAAGUUAGGGUUUUGUGGCUAGUGCGCUAAAAACCUGUGAGUCCUGAAGCCCUAAAUGUUACUUACAAGUAUCACUCCUGAAGGCCAGUGGGAGGAGGCCCUAGUGGAACCCUGCGGUCCCCAUCUGCAGUGGAGGGGGUCCUAGCGGAACCCCUGCGGUCCCCAGCCUCCAGGGCCUCAUCUUAGGAAGCAGGAAAUAGCUGAAGUUCACUUGCACAGCUCCUCGUGAUGUCAGUUUCUCAGCAGAGACUGCCAAAGCCCUUCCAACCUUAUCAAUGGAAUAAUCUUAUUUAACGUCAAUCAAACUCACCAUGCACUUCAGGGAGAGUCCAUUUUCUUGUCUAUCUUUUGAAGACAGAUUCUGUGCAGUGCACUUACACUGCAGACUGGAAGCAAAGGCGUAGAAUUUGCCUCCCGUCUUCUCUGGCAAAAACAUAUGCGUCUCGGGAAGUUUCCAGGAAUGCAAGUGUCCCUGGCUAACUGCUUUUUGUCUGCGAGGCCCCUUCUUGAUUUCCUCUGGUAAACAGCAUAAACAGGCCAUGCCUUCUCGUGUUGGGCCCAUAGUGGUGUCCCAACAGCUCCCCAGGAACUGGCGUUCCCUCGAGCACCCAAACCCACACGGCAAGAGGUUUUCCAACAGCACCCGCCUUGGGAUUCACCACUGAUUCAUUCAGCAAGUGUUUACUAAGCCCCAGUUCUGUGCAAGGCCGCGGAGGACAAGAGUGACUAAGAGUGGCGAGAUCUAUGCCUUCACGGACUUACAUUCCUGUAGAAUGAAAGCAGCCAUCAAGCAAAUAAGCUGAAAACUGCAGAGACUUUGCGCAGGGCAGUGUGAGGCUGGCCGGGUGCAGCGUCCCCCGUGGAGGCUGUGCUAAGACCUCAGUUCCCUGCCGGGCCACCGAGGCUAUUUAGUAAACAGCAAGGCUGCAGUGAUGGGAUGAUGGUACCUUGUAGGUUUUGGUCCCUCAGUUCACGCUGUCUCCUGCUUUCUCAGAGCCUGACUGAGGGAAGUGUUAACUCCUCUCUGGGGAUGGAGGCCUUCGGAGGAAGGGGAGGGCUGGAUCAGAGCCUGGGGUGGAAACAGGGGUCCCUGCCUGGUCUCUGAUGUCACAGCAGAGGGAGGAGAGCUCCCCCAGAGACCCAUCUUGAUGGUGGGUGCGAGCCAUGCCCGCGCCUGGAGAUGCCAAGGGGACUCAGGAGCAGCUGGGGGCUCUGGGCUCCGAGCGCUAAGCCUGAUGCCCGGGCCUGCGCCAGGGUGGCCAGGUGGACAGAGGGAGCUGGGCUGCAGCCAGGAGUGUCCAGUGUGGCCCUUGCAGAGAGGGGCCCAGGCCCUCAUGGGGCUCAGCCUCCCUGCCCCCACCCCACUUCUGGAGCUGUCCCCCCAGGUGUCACCAGAGCCACCAGCGUGGCGGACCCAGCGCCGCCCUCCCCUGCACCCACACUGCAGGCAGCACAGCGACUCUGGAGGACGCGUGGCUCUGCAGCCCAGGACGUGCCCCGACCGCACCUGCAGGCCUCCCUCUUCUGGGGCCGUGGGCACUGGCUCCCUGCACCUGCCGUGGGCGCGCCUUCCUCCGGGCCGCAUACCUGGCGCUGGGGUGCAGGCCCUGGCCUGCUCCACAUCCUGCUCUGCCCGCCCGCGGGCGUCUCCUCCUGCAGUCACCCCGAGCCUCUUGCACCACCAGGGUUUCCUGCCCCACCUGGCGGUGAGGUGGGGGCGGCUCCACCCUCUGCCUCCCAUCCACACAGCCCACAGCAGCCUCCCUUCGGCCGUCUGCUGCGUGUCAAUCCUUUGCUUACUGUGGUUUUUCAAGAAGCAAACUGAUGACGAUGCUGUGGGCUCCAACUGCACAACACCCUGGACGAGAGGGAGGGGGCGGGGGGAACAGGGGUCUGUGAUGGUGGGAAGGUACCUGGAGGGCAUGGCUGGUGGUCCUUCCCUGUCAGAACCAACACACAAGCUCUUUGUAAAAUCAAGUUCUCUUUGCUCCUGGACCUUAAACAUCGCGGUCGUGGUUUCCAGCCCUAAGGGACCACAGGGAUGGGUGUGUUCAGAGUGGGCCGGCUCAGGGAUGCUGAGAAACAAGGGACAGCAUGCCGCUCAGACUGCACAGGUGGGAGCUGGGCCAUCUGCUGAGGCUCCUGCCUCUCAGAGCGCCGCCCACCAUCCCACUGGCCCCCAGGGCUUGACUGCGGGGCCUCUGUGUUCGUGCUUCUCUCCCAGCGAUAGCAUGGCAGAAGGCUUUCUACGGAUGGCCGAGCCCACACCACCAGCUUUUCUGACCUCAGCAGCGACUGAAGUGCUCAAAGGGCUCGCCAUGGGGGGAGUGGAAAAUCUUGUUUCUUGCUUUAUUGGAAUUUUCCAC